rnacentral:rRNA from 1 species
GAUGAACGCUAGCGGCAGGCUUAAUACAUGCAAGUCGAGGGGCAGCACGAAUAGCAAUAUUUGGUGGCGACCGGCGCACGGGUGCGUAACACGUAUACAAUCUACCUUAAACAGGGGGAUAGCCUUCCGAAAGAGAGAUUAAUACCCCGUAAUAAAUUGAAUGGCAUCAUUUGAUUUUGAAAGCUCCGGCGGUUUGAGAUGAGUAUGCGUCUGAUUAGCUAGUUGGUGAGGUAACGGCUCACCAAGGCGACGAUCAGUAGGGGAUCUGAGAGGACUAACCCCCACACUGGUACUGAGACACGGACCAGACUCCUACGGGAGGCAGCAGUAAGGAAUAUUGGUCAAUGGAGGCAACUCUGAACCAGCCAUGCCGCGUGCAGGAUGACGGCCCUAUGGGUUGUAAACUGCUUUUAUACAAGAGAAAACCCUGGUACGUGUACCAGGUUGAUAGUAUUGUAAGAAUAAGCAUCGGCUAACUUCGUGCCAGCAGACG